GAUGAACGCUAGCGGCAGGCCUAACACAUGCAAGUCGAGGGAGAAGCCCUUCGGGGCAGAAACCGGCGCACGGGUGCGUAACGCGUAUGCAACCUACCUUUCACAGGGGGAUAGCCCGAAGAAAUUUGGAUUAAUACCCCAUAAUAUUAUUGGGUGGCAUCAUUUGAUAAUUAAAAUUACGAUGGUGAAAGAUGGGCAUGCGUCCUAUUAGCUAGUUGGAGUGGUAACGGCACCCCAAGGCUACGAUAGGUAGGGGUCCUGAGAGGGAGAUCCCCCACACUGGUACUGAGACAGGGACCAGACUCCUACGGGAGGCAGCAGUGAGGAAUAUUGGUCAAUGGUCGGAAGACUGAACCAGCCAUGCCGCGUGCAGGAAGAAUGCCUUAUGGGUUGUAAACUGCUUUUAUAUGGGAAGAAUAAGGAGU
rnacentral:rRNA from 1 species